GAUGAACGCUGGCGGCGUGCCUAAUACAUGCAAGUCGAGCGAACAGACGAGGAGCUUGCUCCUCUGACGUUAGCGGCGGACGGGUGAGUAACACGUGGAUAACCGACCUAUAAGACUGGGAUAACUUCGGGAAACCGGAGCUAAUACCGGAUAAUAUAUUGAACCGCAUGGUUCAAUAGUGAAAGACGGUUUUGCUGUCACUUAUAGAUGGAUCCGCGCCGCAUUAGCUAGUUGGUAAGGUAACGGCUUACCAAGGCAACGAUGCGUAGCCGACCUGAGAGGGUGAUCGGCCACACUGGAACUGAGACCCGGUCCAGACUCCUACGGGAGGCAGAAGUAGGGAAUCUUCCGCACUGGGCGAAAGCCUGACGGAGCACUGCCGCGUGAGUGAUGAAGGUCUUCGGAUCGUAAAACUCUGUUAUUAGGGAAGAACAAAUGUGUAAGUAACUAUGCACGUCUUGACGGUACCUAAUCAGAAAGCCACGGCUAACUACGUG
rnacentral:rRNA from 1 species